CAUAUAACGUUGAAAAGAUAAGUACUUGUCAAAAUGAUUGUAUAGAGAGCUAAUGUUUGGUGAAAGUUAGUAUCAGGAUGGCUAGGAAAAUGGUCUUGGAGUUAAUAGUGAUGUGAGCAAUAAGGUUUGUAAAUAUCAUUCGGGUACACCCGUUACAGUGUCAGAGUAUCGAAAGCAUUGUCUUUUCUGUACUUGGUAAGUGUGUACUAGUGAUAGUAUGCAGAAAACGGGUGGUAACACGGUAACUUCGUCCCGCAG
rnacentral:ncRNA from 1 species